GCCCAGGUGGCGGAAUUGGUAGACGCGCUAGCUUGAGGGGCUAGUGGGAGCAUAUCCCGUGGAAGUUCGAGUCUUCUCCUGGGCACCA
rnacentral:tRNA from 1 species